rnacentral:rRNA from 1 species
AUUGAACGCUGGCGGCAGGCCUAACACAUGCAAGUCGAACGAGUGGCGGCCGGGUGAGUAAUGUCUGGGAAACUGCCUGAUGGAGGGGGAUAACUACUGGAAACGGUAGCUAAUACCGCAUACCAUCGGAUGUGCCCAGAUGGGGUUAGCUAGUAGGUGGGGUAACGGCUCACCUGGGCGACUAUCCCUAGCUGGUCUGAGAGGAUGACCACCCACACUGGAACUGAGACAGGGUCCAGAAUCAAACGGGAGGCAGCAGUGGGGAGUAUUGCACUAAGGGCGGAAGCCUGAUGCAGCCAUGCCACGUGUAUGAAAAAAGCCUUAGGGUUGUAAAGUACUUUCAGCGGGGAGGCGUUACCAGCAGAAGAAGCACCGGAUAACUCCGUGCCAGACGCCGCGGUAAUAC